UACUGUGCAAAAUUGGUCUUACUCCUUGGUAGGUAGAUAAGUGUAUAGCAUUCAGCCUAGGUGACUUUGGAAAGACCAUUCUUUCUCAGCCAAAUGUACAGGGUAACAAAGAGGCUACAUAUGGAUGCCUUAGUAGCACAGUCACCUAGUAUAAAAUGUUUCAGAAAGCCCCUCAGGACCCACUUCUUCCUGGAAUAGAAAUGUAGCAUUGAAGUGACUGGCUCGUCCGUGAAGGAACUGGGGGCGGCGACGGUCGACAGGGAGCUCUGGCGUGAACUGGUCCAUGAGGUCACGAAGAGUCGGAAACGACUGAACGAGUGAGACGACGAUUACAAGGAAAAGUCAUAAAUGUAUCUGCAGUCUUAUUGUUAAAAUUGGGUAUGUAUUUUAGCCACAAGAGGGAGCUACUGGCAUGUUGUAUCACUUUAAGAUUGCUAGGUUUCCUUUAACAACUAGGGAUAUCUGGAGCAGAAAGCGAUUGUCACAUGAAAGUUGCGAAUUGGCAUUGGAGCAGGACUGUCAUCAAUAUGUAGGGUGCUUUGCACAGCUGGUCUUCCAUCUUCCUGCAACAAAUCUAUCCCCUGUCAUAAUUUACUUGUUGUGAGGAGUCAGGAUCCAUUUCUGUGCCAGCAUACCACCACAAAAGUGACAUCAGAGAGUAAGAUUGUCCAGUACUCCAACUCUCCCCCACUCCUCCUUGCACUUGUGGAGUGUGCUGCAAAUCAGAAGUACAGCCACGGGACCACGCAUCAGCAAAAUGGCACAGUUGCACAACGUAUGGAGAUGUGCAAUGGCAGGAGCCAUAAUCCUCUUAAGUUGCUGCUGUCCUUCAUCAUGCUAAUGCUAUGAGAUAACGGCUUAUGCAAUAAAGUCCCUAGAGAGAACAAAAGGUAGCAAGCAGGUGGAGUCUCCGUCUAGUUUCAGAUGUGAUUGGAUUUCUGUGCCAAGGAAAGACAGUACAUACAUAUUAUUCAUAUUGUACGACUCCUGAAUCAGCAGGAUCAAUAUCCAGGAUUUCAUUUGGCUACAUUCAACAAAAUAAAUCUUUAGGUGUUUCCUAGAUCUUCCAGGGUGACUGUAUGGUAUACUUGGCUAGAAGUUCUUCAUUUAAUAAGGUUCGCUAUUUUCUAUGGCUUUGUGUAUCCACACAAAAUCCAGAAAUGUAUCCCUUGCAGAUAUGGGGUCAUACUGUACAUUUCAUUAAUAAGUAAUAUCUUAACCAUUUUCUCAGAAGGUACUCAGUGCUGUGGUGUGAAACCAUAUCUGGAUCACAGCCACAGAGUCUAGCCAUGAAACAUAGAAGGGAUAAAAUAUCUUAGAUUAGAACCAUUUGAAAUACUAGAUAACUUUUCAGUCUGGCAGUCUAUCUCAUGCAGUUCACCGUCAGCUUAGUCAAAGGUUAUCUGGGUCAUCAUUCCCUAUCUCUUUUUCCACUGAAAAAGGUUCACCAAUCACUCUUGCCACAAUUAUAGUGAGAUCGCUUCCACCUCAACAUAUCUAAUUCCUGUUUUUUGCUUCCCUCAUUGCUUACAGAGAAGAAAGGUCAAUAUGAGAGAACUUUAUUCUGUUUACAAAUACAGGAGGGAUGACAGUGUGGGAAAACAGUCUUUCACAGAGAUUAGUUGCUGCAAGAUACUGUUUAUUGGCAAAGAUAGCACAGCACAUGAAGACAUAAGUCCUAAUAAAACACCCUGGCAUUUUGCUGUAUAGAAGCAGAGCUAAUGUUUACACUAGUGUGCAGGAUGCAUUUUUUAUUAUAAAUAUUUACAUGCCCAGUGUUUAUAGGCUUUGUGGGUGUCCAUCUCUCACAUAAACUGACACACUCCGAUCUUAAUAAGCGACCAGGCUGUGAAGGGUUCUUUUUAAGAAAUGGAUUUGAGUGUCUGGAUACAAAAAUCCAUACACCUCAGUACUUUCUUGAUCUGCAAGAGGAAGCACUUUUAUUUUUUUAAAUAGUUUUUAUUGGUAUUUUUCUCACAAAGUAGUUUUAUAUAUAAAAAAGAAAGGGGAUGGGAAGAAGAGAGAGGGAGGCCCAUAGAGAAAAGAAAAAAAGAGGGGGGUAGGGAAAGGUAAAAAAUAAGUUGAGAAAAGAGGAAAGACGAGGUACAAGAUGGGGGGGGGGGUGAAAUGGGUAAGGGAUAAGAGAUGAAAGGGGAAAAAUGCAGGGAUAAAAGGGGAAUCUGACAACUUCCAUUCUCGCUCUUCAAGGUAGUCAAAUUUCUUCAAUGUACAUUCUUCUUCCAGCACCUCCUUUUCAUCCUUUCCGCAUAUGAAUUCCUGUUCAUAUUCAUAACAUCAAGAAGUUUCAAGAUCCAGUCCUCUGUUGAUGGUGUUUCUUUGGUCAUCCAAUGUCUGGCGUAUGCUAUUCUCACCGCCAUCACCAUGUAAUUGAAUAAAAUAUCUUUAUUCUUA